rnacentral:rRNA from 1 species
UACGGAGGGUGCAAGCGUUAUCCGGAUUCACUAGGUUUAAAGGGUGCGUAGGUGGUUUUGUAAGUCAGUGGUGAAAGCCCGGAGCUCAACUCCGGAACUGCCAUUGAUACUGCUUAACUUGAAUCAACUUGAGGUGGAUGGAAUAUUACAUGUAGCGGUGAAAUGCUUAGAUAUGUAAUAGAACACCGAUUGCGAAGGCAGUUCACUAAGGUUGUAUUGACACUGAGGCACGAAAGCGUGGGGAUCAAACAGG